rnacentral:lncRNA from 1 species
CUAGAUUUACCUUAAUUUCUCUACUUAAUUUAAUUAUAUUAACCCUAUCUCUUCUAUUAUCUCUUAUUACUUAAAAUUAACCCGUACACAAUAUUUUGGCAUAGAUUUACCCUAAUUUCUCUGCUUAAUUUUACUAUAUUAACCCUAUCUCUUCUAUCAUCUCUUAUCUCUUAUUAUCUUAAAGUUAACCUGUAAGCAAU